UGGACAGAUUAUUCUAUUCGACUGUAUUCACGGCGUGAAAUAGGGGAUUACACUGUUUUUAAAAUGAAAAGUGAGUCAAUUAACAUAAUAGACUCCU
rfam:Nicotiana sylvestris Nsyl_contig42265, whole genome shotgun sequence.